GAAAAAGGUGAAGGUGUUUGUUGAAAUUGUUUCUUUUUUCCUUUUGAGGAAGAGGAAUGUUGAAACAUGAAGACUUCAAUGGGUUUUGGAGUUUGGGUUUCAUUUUCAGGUAAUCUAGUAAGGAUAUCUGCAAGAACAUUAUCCUUGCCUUUAAUGUGUACAACCUCAAAGGAGAAUCUGGAAAACCAUCUUGCCCAUCUAAGAAGUUGUGAAUGUGGAACUUUUUUCUGUUUAAACUUGAGCAUUUUUGGAAAAGAUGACAUAUCCAUCUCAACAAGGAAAUGAUAUCCUGUUAAAUGAAAUUGGAAUUUAGUAAUUCCAUAUUUCACAGCAGGAAUUUCCUUAAAGGUAGAAUGAUAAUGGAUUUCUGCAUCUGUAAAUCUUCCACUCUUAUAUCCGCAAAGUCGUAUUUUUCCAUUUUUUUUCUUCAAAGAGUAUUGCUCCCCAGUAUCUGUCACUUGCAUCAGUCUGCAAAAUUCUUUUGUCACUGAAUGGGAUCUGUAGUGGUGGCAAACAUGCUGUUUUCUCCUUGAUCUGUCGGACAGCUUUUGUUUGUUUGGACUUCCAGGGAGGUGGAUCUUUUUUUAGCAUCUUUCUCAAAGGAUUUGUUAAUUUGGCUAUCUUGGGAACAAAAUCCCUAAGAUAAUUAACUAUCCCAAGAAAUUGUUGAACUUGUUUCUAGGUGAGGUUUUUGUCAGGAAAUUUCUUCAAUUCUUCUGCAAUGUUUGGAUUUGGCUGAUAUCUUCCAUCUUUGAUGAUCAUUCCAAGAAACUCAAUCUCCUGCUUGUUGAUCUGCAUCUUCUUUUCAGAAAGCAUUAUUCCAAAAUUAAGAAUAAUUUGCUGAAACUUGUUGAGGAGAAUAGCAUUAUUCCACUCUUAUAUCCGCAAAGUCGUCUUUUUCUAUUUUUUAUUUCAAAGGUAGUUCUUGUGUUACAACUGACACUUCUCCAUCCUUAUAUAGAGAAGGAUUGAGAUAAGCAGAUAAGAAGGAAUAUGCUUUUACACCACUCAUUAAAGCAAACAACAUGACUCAGCAUAUUUUACCAAAGUAAAGAGACACAACUAGAAGUAGAUAAGGAGGAAUCUGCUUUAUCUACUUUUAUACUAUUGGCACGUCUGUAUCUGUGUCAUAAUCUGUGUCAAUAUCAGAAGUAAUAUUGAGUUUCUCUAUUUUCUGUCUUUUCUUUUCACGGGCUCUGUAACUCCUAAGCUCCAACCUUUCAAUUCUUCUUUCCAGGUCAUCUGGUGGUAUCACAUCAUCAUUAUUGCUUUUGGGAAGUGGAGCUUUUGAAACACUUGGUCCUUUUUCACUUGGUCCCUCUUCAUGUAUAUCUUUCCAGAUAUGUGUGCCUUGAAUUAUCUGGCUGCAAUGCAUGGGAUAAUCUUGAGACCAUUCUUUUGGAUCUGGUAUGUUGGACCAAUAUUCAUUCAGGGCUUCUUUCAAUUGGUUCUGAUAGGGUGUCGGUGGAUUCCUUUGAACAUCCCAUGGUGCUGAUGACUCUCCCGAGGGCCAUAUUUCUGAAGGAAUAAUCUUGUUGAUCUGACACAGAUAUUUUUGUAGCUUCUUGAGAUCAAAAGGAUUCUCAUAAACCUCUUCAAAGUAUGUUUUAUGGAUCCAGGAGCUAGGAAGGGAGGCUAAUUGUGUUGCUGGUCCAUUUUACAUGAAGUAUUGAGGUUUAUAGAAAAUGAUUACUAUCCACUGGAUACGGGUAUUUUUGAGAAACUCAAACAUGAGCAUAUCUACCCAAUAUUCUAAAAGAUAGAACCAUUUUUAAAAUGUGGCCAGGUUUUUCAUCUCAGGAGCUUCUUCAUUGCGGACUGCCAUUGUUAAGAAGUGUUGGAGGUCAGGCAUAAAGAACUCAAUCCCUAUGUGAAAGAGAUGAGUUAAAUACCGGAACAUCCAUUUUAAUUCUUCAGGAAACUCACCAAACUGGAACUUGAUUGGGUUUAUAAAUGGGUAAUCAGGAUGUAGGCCUAAAGGCUUAAGAAAUAAUCCUCCGAAAUUCCUAAAGACGUCUAAUUGAUAAGAAAGCAUCAUGUUCAUGGCUUCUUUAUGGAAUUUCUUUUCUAGGAUUAGACUUAAAACUUCUGGAGGGUGUUCUGGAUGGGAAUUUGGUUUACAGGGAAGGGAAAAAGGUGAAGGUGUUUGUUGAAAUUGUUUCUUUUUUCUUUUUGAGGAAGAGGAAGGUUGAAACAUGAAGACUUCAAUGGGUUUUGGAGUUUGGGUUUCAUUUUCAGGUAAUCUAGUAAGGAUAUCUGCAAGAACAUUAUCCUUGCCUUUAAUGUGUACAACCUCAAAGGAGAAUCUGGAAAACCAUUCUGCCCAUCUAAGAAGUUGUGAAUGUGGAACUUUCUUCUGUUUA
rnacentral:lncRNA from 1 species